GAAAGAAAAACAGUAACUUUACAAAUACUAUCUCAAGCCAGGUGAUCAAGGUUAACAUCAACAGUGAUAAGUCAUAAUGAUAGUAUGUACCCUUCAAAUUAUAUGAUGAGAAUGCCAUCUUACCUCUCUGUCUUCCUCCCAAAAACAUAUUAACCAUGAGGAAAACAUCAAAUUCCAGUUAAAGGAGAUUCUACAAAAUAGGCCUGACCAGUAAUCUUCAAAAUUGUGAAGAUCACCAAAAUUGUCAAGAUCACCAAAAAUCUGAAAAACAGUCACAGUCCAGGGGAGCCUAAGGAGGAUAAGAACUAAAUGUGGUCCCAGACAAGAUCCUGGAACAGAAAAUGAACACUAAGGGAAAACUAAGGAAAUAUGAACAAGGAGAUUCCAUGAAAGGAGAGAGGCUGGCACAGCUGGUUGUUCUAUGGCCAUGAGGAGAAGCAUGACAAGAGAGAAGAGAUGCCACUAGAUGAAAAGAACUCUCCAGAGAAGAGUGGAGGCCCAAACUGGGAAGUUAGCUGUAGCAGCUGAUGUCACAAAGCCUGGCUGAGGACCAAAGAGAAACAGGUUCGUUUGGAAGUUCGUAUCUGAGCAGACUGGCUCAACCAGAAGUCCAGAAAAGUGUGGACCAGCUUCAACAGGACAGCACUAACACAGACUACUGCAGUCUCUGCACAGAGAGGCCUAAAGGAGAGGUCACAGCAGUACUCUGCAGAUUCAACAAUAGCACUAGAGAGACAGAACAAGAAAUUUCAUGCUCUGCCUUUUAUAAAUGAGGAAACUGAGAUUAACAGCAGUUACAUGCCUCACCAAGGUUAUGAAGUCAAGGAGAAGACUCAAGUCUGGCUCUCAUUAUUCCUCAUUGAGAGCUCUUUUCACUACAUAGUGCUGCCUUCCCAGGAAAGCUAAAAAGUUAAACGACAGACUGGUGUUCAUAUUUACUAAUGCAAAUCAUACCAAACAUCUGGCUGCUG
rnacentral:lncRNA from 1 species